AUUAGGGUCUGCUACAUAAGCAGUUGGGCCCAUGCCCCAAAAACGGAAUAUAAACCCC
rnacentral:tRNA from 1 species